CAGCUGUCAUUCAUUAUUUUCACAUCAGGGGCAAAGAAUUUCAUAAACAGGGGGCACAGAGCUUUCAAGCCCUGCUCAACAGAACGCAGAAUUCUAAAGUGUCUUCAGGUUUAGCAGCAAAGGAAUGUGUACAUUGUAUGUGUACGUCGAUACUGCAAGCCUAAAUCCAGAGAGGGCAUAGCUAGCAGCACUAGUUAAUAUAUUGAAGAUGUGUGAGCAGGGAUGUACCCAGCAUGCUGAUUUCAGAUGUG